CAAGUUGAAUUGUAGGGAAUCGACUUUUGAAUUAAAUUUUGAUAAAAUCUAUGUACAUAAAGUUGCAUGAAGGGGCACUAACAAAAGCCAGCACCAUCCUAAAUUUCUUCCUCUUCCUUUCAGAAGCAAAUGCUUUCUGUGUACUGCAGCACAGACCAGGAGCUACCUCCCUUCUGCAAGUCUUGAAGACUGCUCAAGGAAGCAGAGAGGCUGAAUCCUGCAGACUGUAUUUUCUUAAUGUGUUUGAGAGCUAGAAUCGUGGUAAUUGAGCCAACGGGAAGACCAAUCGAAGAUUGAUGAGGCUGAGAAGAGAGACAUCUAGAUAGGCCUUCAUAUUUGCCAUGCUUGGACACCAUGUCUACUACUGUUCCUCUAGGCAGUGACAUUUGAAUAUUUUCACCACUUAUAGAUCUCCAAGAAUGUUUGUCCAAACAUUAGUCUUUCAUCCUUGAGGUGGUAACUACUUCUUACCUUUGCUAGCUUGUGGAAAACUCAUCAUCUCUCCUUUGGUCCCUUAAUAUUGCCCACUUCUAUAUAUAAAGACUUUAUCUAACCUGUCAACUUUUACUAUCACUGGUGAAUUUAACUUUCUCCUGAUGUUGAUUAAUUCAGUAACCAAGUGCAAAGUUCAUUCUAAUUUCCAAAAUUAGAAUUUGUGCAUUAUUUUCUCAUCUAGAAAUUUCCAAACUUUUCAUUUAAAUUUUGACUCCUCCUUCACACCUACUGUUUCUACUAUUGUGCUAAGCAAAAUGACUGAGAAAGGGCCAUUGAAUAUAGUACUGAUACUUUGUUGGUCAGCUUCAAAAGGACUUUUCACAUGAAAAACAGGAAAAUGUGGAAAAUAAUUG
rnacentral:lncRNA from 1 species